GGGCCCGCACAAGCGGUGGAGCAUGUGGUUUAAUUCGAUGAUACGCGAGGAACCUUACCAGGGCUUAAAUGUAGUGGGACAGGUCUAGAGAUAGACCCUUCUUCGGACUCAUUACAAGGUGCUGCAUGGUUGUCGUCAGCUCGUGCCGUGAGGUGUCAGGUUAAGUCCUAUAACGAGCGCAACCCCUAUCGUUAGUUGCCAGCGGGUAAUGCCGGGAACUCUAGCGAAACUGCCGGUGCAAACCGUGAGGAAGGUGGGGAUGACGUCAAAUCAUCACGGCCCUUACGUCCUGGGCUACACACGUGCUACAAUGGUCGGUACAGAGAGCAGCCACUUCGCAAGAAGGAGCUAAUCUUUAAAACCGAUCUCAGUUCGGAUCGCAGUCUGCAACUCGACUGCGUGAAGCUGGAAUCGCUAGUAA
rnacentral:rRNA from 1 species